rnacentral:lncRNA from 1 species
CUUGAGCUAACUCAAGAAUUGGUUAAGUCGACUCAACAGCUCCUAAUAGCUCUAACAGCUAGUUUUCAGAAAGCUACAGAAAUAAUUUGAGAAGCUCUAAAUGGCUAUUUCUUGUACUCCAACGACUGUAAAUUCAUGUUUAGUGAUGUUAACUUGAAUUAGAGGGUGUCUAAACCAUUAUUAAAAUAAAAAAAAACUUAAGAAAAUAAAGAAAUACAUAAGAAAGAAUAG